AUUGAACGCUGGCGGCAUGCCUUACACAUGCAAGUCGAACGGCAGCACGGGAGCAAUCCUGGUGGCGAGUGGCGAACGGGUGAGUAAUAUAUCGGAACGUGCCCAGUCGUGGGGGAUAACGCAGCGAAAGCUGUGCUAAUACCGCAUACGAUCUAUGGAUGAAAGCGGGGGAUCGCAAGACCUCGCGCGAUUGGAGCGGCCGAUAUCAGAUUAGCUAGUUGGUGAGGUAAAGGCUCACCAAGGCGACGAUCUGUAGCUGGUCUGAGAGGACGACCAGCCACACUGGAACUGAGACACGGUCCAGACUCCUACGGGAGGCAGCAGUGGGGAAUUUUGGACAAUGGGCGCAAGCCUGAUCCAGCAAUGCCGCGUGCAGGAUGAAGGCCUUCGGGUUGUAAACUGCUUUUGUACGGAACGAAACGGUGAGCUCUAAUACAGUUUGCUAAUGACGGUACCGUAAGAAUAAGCACCGGCUAACUACGUGCCAGCCGCCGCCGUAACAC
rnacentral:rRNA from 1 species